UACCGCGGUUUGAAAAACACGGUAAAUACUGUCCAGCAUCAACCAAAGUUAGCAACUGUCUGACGCAGGCGCAGCAUGCAACGUGGGUUUUUUUUGUGUGAAAACAUGGCGGAAGGCAGUGACAGCGCUCAGGAGAUUUUUCAGCCUUCUAAGAGGACCAAAUCUGAAGUGUGGUCAUAUUUGGGGUUUUACAAGAGUGCUGAGGGAAACUUAAUCGAAGACAGUCACCCUGUCUACAGAACAGGCAACAACAACAAAAAUGCUGCGAAAGGGGGCAACAUUUAAAAUCUCUUGAGUCACCUUCGUGACCACCACCCACUACUUUAUAGCGAAUGCAAGAGUGGGCGUGCAGCAGACAAACCCAGUGAUGCUACUGGUCCCUCCUCAUCUACAGUUGUGACAGACACUCCAGCAAGCAUUUAAAAAGGCAGGCUGCUUAUGCACCCACAUCAAAAAAAUGAUCAAGACCUCACUGCAGCCCUUUUAUAUUACAAUGCAAAGGACAUGAUGGCAUUUCAAAUUGUUGAGAGGCCUGGCUUUCUGCGGCUGAUGAAGGUUGCUGUGCCUCACUACAAUUGCACUGUUGAGGAAGCAGCUGUUCUGGCCCGGCUCGUUGCUGAGUCCUUUACUGGGGGCGAUGGACGUCAUGGUGCGUGGGGUAAAGAUCCCCUGCAGCCCGCCGCUUCCAGACGCAAAGUAGUUCC